rnacentral:rRNA from 1 species
UACAGAGGUCUCAAGCGUUGUUCGGAUUCAUUGGGCGUAAAGGGUGCGUAGGCGGCGCGGUAAGUCGGGUGUGAAAUCUCGGGGCUUAACUCCGAAACUGCCUUCGAUACUGCCGUGCUUGAGGACUGGAGAGGAGACUGGAAUUUACGGUGUAGCGGUGAAAUGCGUAGAUAUCGUAAGGAAGACCAGUGGCGAAGGCGGGUCUCUGGACAGUUCCUGACGCUGAGGCACGAAGGCCAGGGGAGCAAACGGG